CAGUAGCCGCGGUAAUACGGAGGGAGCUAGCGUUAUUCGGAAUUACUGGGCGUAAAGCGCACGUAGGCGGCUUUGUAAGUAAGAGGUGAAAGCCCAGAGCUCAACUCUGGAAUUGCCUUUUAGACUGCAUCGCUUGAAUCUUGGAGAGGCGAGUGGAAUUCCGAGUGUAGAGGUGAAAUUCGUAGAUAUUCGGAAGAACACCAGUGGCGAAGGCGACUCGCUGGACAAGUAUUGACGCUGAGGUGCGAAAGCGUGGGGAGCAAACAGGAUUAGAUACCCGGGUAGUCCCUGUCUCUUAUAC
rnacentral:rRNA from 1 species